UACGAAGGGGGGCUAGCGUUGCUCGGAAUCACUGGGCGUAAAGCGCACGUAGGCGGAUCUUUAAGUCAGGGGUGAAAUCCCAAGGCUCAACCUUGGAACUGCCUUUGAUACUGGGGAUCUCGAGUCCGGAAGAGGUGAGUGGAACUGCGAGUGUAGAGGUGAAAUUCGUAGAUAUUCGCAAGAACACCAGUGGCGAAGGCGGCUCACUGGUCCGGUACUGACGCUGAUGCGCGAAAGCGUGGGGAGCGAACAGG
rnacentral:rRNA from 1 species